AUUGAACGCUGGCGGCAGGCUUAACACAUGCAAGUCGAGCGGAGAUGAGGUGCUUGCACCUUAUCUUAGCGGCGGACGGGUGAGUAAUGCUUAGGAAUCUGACAUUUAGUGGGGGACAACAUUCCGAAAGGAAUGCUAAUACCGCAUACGUCCUACGAGAGAAAGCAGGGGAUCUUCGGACCUUGCGCUAAAUGAUGAGCCUAAGUCGGAUUAGCUAGUUGGUGGGGUAAAGGCCUACCAAGGCGACGAUGUGUAGCGGGUCUGAGAGGAUGAUCCGCCACGCUGGGACUGAGACACGGCCCAGACUCCUACGGGAGGCAGCAGUGGGGAAUAUUGGACAAUGGGGGGAACCCUGAUCCAGCCAUGCCGCGUGUGUGAAGAAGGCCUUAUGGUUGUAAAGCACUUUAAGCGAGGAGGAGGCUACUGAGACUAAUACUCUUGGAUAGUGGACGUUACUCGCAGAAUAAGCACCGGCUAACUCUGUGCCAGCCGCCGCCGUAACAC
rnacentral:rRNA from 1 species